rnacentral:rRNA from 1 species
UACGGAGGGUGCAAGCGUUAUCCGGAUUCACUGGGUUUAAAGGGUGCGUAGGCGGGCAGGUAAGUCCGUGGUGAAAUCUCUGAGCUUAACUCAGAAACUGCCAUGGAUACUAUUUGUCUUGAAUGUUGUGGAGGUAAGCGGAAUAUGUCAUGUAGCGGUGAAACGCUUAGAUAUGACAUAGAACACCAAUUGCGAAGGCAGCUUACUACACAAAUAUUGACGCUGAGGCACGAAAGCGUGGGGAUCAAACAGG